rnacentral:rRNA from 1 species
GACGAACGCUGGCGGCGUGCUUAACACAUGCAAGUCGAACGAAGAGCGACGGAAGCUUGCUUCUAUCAAUCUUAGUGGCGAACGGGUGAGUAACGCGUAAUCAACCUGCCCUUCAGAGGGGGACAACAGUUGGAAACGACUGCUAAUACCGCAUACGAUCUAACCUCGGCAUCGAGGAUAGAUGAAAGGUGGCCUCUACAUGUAAGCUAUCACUGAAGGAGGGGAUUGCGUCUGAUUAGCUAGUUGGAGGGGUAACGGCCCACCAAGGCGAUGAUCAGUAGCCGGUCUGAGAGGAUGAACGGCCACAUUGGGACUGAGACACGGCCCAGACUCCUACGGGAGGCAGCAGUGGGGAAUCUUCCGCAAUGGACGAAAGUCUGACGGAGCAACGCCGCGUGAGUGAUGACGGCCGUCGGGUUGUAAAGCUCUGUUAAUCGGGACGAAAGGCCUUCUUGCGAAUAGGGAGAAGGAUUGACGGUACCGGAAUAGAAAGCCACGGCUAACUACGUG